rnacentral:tRNA from 1 species
GGACCCGUGGUGUAGUGGUUAACAUGCCUCCCUGUCACGGAGGAGAUCACCAGUUCGAUCCUGGUCGGGUUCGCCA